CGUUCGUUGGGUAGGGGAGCGUUCUGUAAGCCUGUGAAGGUGGCCUGUGAGGGUUGCUGGAGGUAUCAGAAGUGCGAAUGCUGACAUAAGUAACGAUAAAGCGGGUGAAAAGCCCGCUCGCCGGAAGACCAAGGGUUCCUGUCCAACGUUAAUCGGGGCAGGGUGAGUCGACCCCUAAGGCGAGGCCGAAAGGCGUAGUCGAUGGGAAACGGGUUAAUAUUCCCGUACUUGGUGUUACUGCGAAGGGGGGACGGAGAAGGCUAUGUUGGCCGGGCGACGGUUGUCCCGGUUUAAGCGUGUAGGUGUGUGUUCCAGGUAAAUCCGGUUCACUUUAACACUGAGGCGUGAUGACGAGGCACUACGGUGCUGAAGUAACAAAUGCCCUGCUUCCAGGAAAAGCCUCUAAGCAUCAGGUAACAUCAAAUCGUACCCCAAACCGACACAGGUGGUCAGGUAGAGAAUACCAAGGCGCUUGAGAGAACUCGGGUGAAGGAACUAGGCAAAAUGGUGCCGUAACUUCGGGAGAAGGCACGCUGACACGUAGGUGAAGUGAUUUACUCACGGAGCUGAAGUCAGUCGAAGAUACCAGCUGGCUGCAACUGUUUAUUAAAAACACAGCACUGUGCAAACACGAAAGUGGACGUAUACGGUGUGACGCCUGCCCGGUGCCGGAAGGUUAAUUGAUGGGGUCAGCGCAAGCGAAGCUCCUGAUCGAAGCCCCGGUAAACGGCGGCCGUAACUAUAACGGUCCUAAGGUAGCGAAAUUCCUUGUCGGGUAAGUUCCGACCUGCACGAAUGGCGUAAUGAUGGCCAGGCUGUCUCCACCCGAGACUCAGUGAAAUUGAACUCGCUGUGAAGAUGCAGUGUACCCGCGGCAAGACGGAAAGACCCCGUGAACCUUUACUAUAGCUUGACACUGAACAUUGAGCCUUGAUGUGUAGGAUAGGUGGGAGGCUUUGAAGUGUGGACGCCAGUCUGCAUGGAGCCGACCUUGAAAUACCACCCUUUAAUGUUUGAUGUUCUAACGUGGACCCGUUACCCGGGUUGCGGACAGUGUCUGGUGGGUAGUUUGACUGGGGCGGUCUCCUCCUAAAGAGUAACGGAGGAGCACGAAGGUUGGCUAAUCCUGGUCGGACAUCAGGAGGUUAGUGCAAUGGCAUAAGCCAGCUUGACUGCGAGCGUGACGGCGCGAGCAGGUGCGAAAGCAGGUCAUAGUGAUCCGGUGGUUCUGAAUGGAAGGGCCAUCGCUCAACGGAUAAAAGGUACUCCGGGGAUAACAGGCUGAUACCGCCCAAGAGUUCAUAUCGACGGCGGUGUUUGGCACCUCGAUGUCGGCUCAUCACAUCCUGGGGCUGAAGUAGGUCCCAAGGGUAUGGCUGUUCGCCAUUUAAAGUGGUACGCGAGCUGGGUUUAGAACGUCGUGAGACAGUUCGGUCCCUAUCUGCCGUGGGCGCUGGAGAACUGAGGGGGGCUGCUCCUAGUACGAGAGGACCGGAGUGGACGCAUCACUGGUGUUCGGGUUGUCAUGCCAAUGGCACUGCCCGGUAGCUAAAUGCGGAAGAGAUAAGUGCUGAAAGCAUCUAAGCACGAAACUUGCCCCGAGAUGAGUUCUCCCUGAGACUUAAAGUCUCCUGAAGGAACGUUGAAGACGACGACGUUGAUAGGCCGGGUGUGUAAGCGCAGCGAUGCGUUGAGCUAACCGGUACUAAUGAACCGUGAGGCUUAACCCUACAACGCCGAAG
rnacentral:rRNA from 1 species